GACAGAGGGUGCAAACGUUGUUCGGAAUUACUGGGCGUAAAGCGUGUGUAGGCGGCUACGCAAGUCGGAUGUGAAAGCCCCGGGCUCAACCCGGGAAGUGCACCCGAAACUGCGUGGCUCGAGUACCGGAGAGGUUGGUGGAAUUCUCGGUGUAGAGGUGAAAUUCGUAGAUAUCGAGAGGAACACCGGUGGCGAAGGCGGCCAACUGGACGAGUACUGACACUGAGGCACGAAAGCAUGGGGAGCAAACAGG
rnacentral:rRNA from 1 species